GAUGAACGCUAGCGGCAGGCCUAAUACAUGCAAGUCGAACGUGAUUGUUGUAGCAAUAUGACAUGAAAGUGGCGCACGGGUGCGUAACACGUAUGCAAUCUACCUCUAAUAGGGGGAUAGCUUCGAGAAAUCGGAAUUAAUACCCCAUAACAUUAAGAAGUGGCAUCACUUUUUAAUUCAAACCUCCGGGGAGUUAGAGAUGAGCAUGCGGAACAUUAGCUAGAUGGUGAGGUAAUAGCUCACCAUGGCUACGAUGUUUAGGGGGUCUGAGAGGAUGAUCCCCCACACUGGUACUGAGACACGGACCAGACUCCUACGGGAGGGCAGCAGUAGGGAAUAUUGGGCAAUGGAGGGCAACUCUGACCCAGCCAUGCCGCGUGCAGGAUGACGGCCCUCUGGGUUGUAAACUGCUUUUAUACGGGAAGAAAAAUACUACGUGUAGUAUACUGACGGUACCGUAAGAAUAGGAUCGGCUAACUCCGUG
rnacentral:rRNA from 1 species